UACGUAGGGUGCAAGCGUUGUCCGGAAUUAUUGGGCGUAAAGAGCUCGUAGGCGGUCUGUCGCGUCGGCUGUGAAAACUCGGGGCUCAACCCCGAGCCUGCAGUCGAUACGGGCAGACUAGAGUGCUGUAGGGGAGAUUGGAAUUCCUGGUGUAGCGGUGGAAUGCGCAGAUAUCAGGAGGAACACCGAUGGCGAAGGCAGAUCUCCUGGGCCGUAACUGACGCUGAGGAGCGAAAAGCAUGGGGGAGCGAACAGG
rnacentral:rRNA from 1 species